CACGUAGGGGGCGAGCGUUGUCCGGAAUCAUUGGGCGUAAAGAGCGCGUAGGUGGCUUGUCAGGUCCGAUGUGAAAACCUGGGGCUCAACUCCAGGCCUGCAUCGGAAACCGGCUUGCUAGAGUCUGGGAGAGGAGAGUGGAAUUCCUGGUGUAGCGGUGAAAUGCGUAGAUAUCGGGAGGAACACCAGUGGCGAAGGCGGCUUUCUGGCCAGUUACUGACGCUCAUGCGCGAAAGCUGGGGUAGCGAACCGGAUUAGAUACU
rnacentral:rRNA from 1 species